rnacentral:rRNA from 1 species
UACGGAGGGUGCAAGCGUUAUCCGGAUUUACUGGGUUUAAAGGGUGCGUAGGUGGUUUAAUAAGUCAGUGGUGAAAUUUACCCGCUUAACGGGCAAGCUGCCAUUGAUACUGUUAAACUUGAAUGUGGUUGAAGUAGGCGGAAUAAAUCAUGUAGAGGUGAAAUUCUUAGAGAUGAUUUAGAACACCGAUUGCGAAGGCAGCUUACUAAGCCAUUAUUGACACUGAUGCACGAAAGCGUGGGGAUCAAACAGG